AACUGAUACUACCUGCGGGAACCUGCGGACGGAUCAUUACUGAAGUGAUUUGGGGAUGUUGCUGGCCCUCUCUCAAGGGGGGGCACUGUGCACUCCUCGAAACAAUUCACAAUUUCCAUCACACCCCUUGUGCACACCUUGUAGGCACCCAAACCCACCUCCGGGUGGUGGGGUCCUAUGUAUUCCUUCAUCUCACACUCUGUUGAAUGGUGCCAUGGGACGCAUCUAAAGGAUUAUUUG
rnacentral:misc_RNA from 1 species